rnacentral:rRNA from 1 species
UUAGGGUUCGAUUCCGGAGAGGGAGCCUGAGAAACGGCUACCACAUCCAAGGAAGGCAGCAGGCGCGCAAAUUACCCAAUCCCGACACGGGGAGGUAGUGACAAUAAAUAACAAUACAGGGCCCUCACGGGUCUUGUAAUUGGAAUGAGUACAAUUUAAAUCUCUUAACGAGGAACAAUUGGAGGGCAAGUCUGGUGCCAGCAGCCGCGGUAAUUCCAGCUCCAAUAGCGUAUAUUAAAGUUGUUGCAGUUAAAAAGCUCGUAGUUGAAUUUUGGGUCUGGCCGGGCGGUCCACCUUCCGG